GGGUUUUGCAUCUAUCAUAUUUACAUGUUUACUACCAAAUGUUUGAACUAAAUUUUGAAACUCUAAAUUAAACUUAUGAUUAUAUAUAUCAGACAAUUUACCAAUAUACAUUAAGCUAAUACAUAAAUUUUUAUAUUCUCCUUUCAUAUUAUAAUUUUUUUUGUUCUUAUGCUUACUUUAAUAUAUUUACUAAAUUCAUUAAUUGUCAUAACAUAAUUUGGAAUACAACCUAUGAAUGCUAAGUUUGAACUUAAGUCUACUUCAGCUAUUGAUAUUGCUGCUUGUUGGUGAUUAUCCCAUCUAUCAUCAUAUAUGUAGACUAAUGCUUUUGUGCCUACUUGUGCUCUGGUUAAUCCUGCUAUUCCAAUUAAUAUUGUUCCUAUAUGAAUCUGACAAAAAUGUGAUUUUCUCAAAUGAGUAACUGUUCUUUACUAAUUAGAUUAAGU
rnacentral:lncRNA from 1 species